rnacentral:lncRNA from 1 species
GUGGGUGUUAUUCACUGUCCACAUUUUGCAGAAGAGGAAACUGAGACUCAGAGAGAGGAAGUAAAUUGCUCAGGUUCACUCAGCUAGGAAGCAACAGAUCAGGAUUCGAGCCCAGUCCAAAAUCAUAAUUCACUCCCUUGAAAAGCCAAAAGAGAGAGAGAACAGGGCCAGACGGGGUGGCGUCAGGAGGGUUGUGGGUCCCCUGGCUGCUGUGCAGAGCUUACAUCGGGCGCUCAAAGGAGCCCGAGCCAACCACUGCCCAAGAGAUUCUACCAAGAUGAAAAUGGUUCCUCCCCAGCCACAGUUCCAUCACCUGCGUGAUGGGACGAGAGACUGGAUCAGGUGUUCUCCACAGCCGGUUAUGAAGUGAUCCCAGGCCUGGGUCUCCUGAUGAGUCCAUCUGACUUCCACUCUCCAGCACCCCCAGGGUUUACUGCUUCCAUCCUGCUGACAGCCAUAUGCUCUUCUCUGGCUGAUUCAAGACAAAAGAAGAUAGGAUGACAAAGCAGAAGACCAGAGAGAAAGAGAUUUGAAGAUGCUACCCUGCUGGCUUUGGAGAUGGAAGCAAGGGCCAUGAGCCAAGAGGUGUAUGUGGCUUUUGGAAGCAGCCACAGCAAAUUAACACAACCACGGAGCCAGUCCCCACAGCCUGGUCAGGUGCAGCAUGAUUCCAGACAACAGCAAUGAGGAAGCCAGCCUUGUGGAGCUGAUGCCUGGCAGAGAACAUCACUAAGCAACAGGCAUCCUGAGUGCUUGGGUUUGAGGCCCAGCCUUGCUAUCUCCCAGCUGUGUGAUUUGGACCAAGUAACUCGAUCUCACCUCACCUGCCUGAUGAGAUAACAGGAUUUUGUGAGGUUUAUAUGUAUCUUUGGCUCUUGGAACAAUGUCUGGCACAGAGUAAUUUACAAGGGCUCAGUAAAUCUGUCAUUUAUGGCCUCCCCAUGUCAGCAGCUAGGUGGCUGGCCACAGCCCUCGUGGUGGAGUGAGGCUGGGAUCUGGGGCUGGCCAAUGAGAGGCCCAAGUCUCCUUGACUGGGGGAUCAGCCAUGGUCACCAGAACCAACUCACAUCAGCCCUGGACUUUGGCUGGAAGUUCUGGGAAAGAGGUGCUCUCUCCCUGUUGGGAUCUUGUUGGGAUUCUCGAGGAGCUCGGCCUGGAGAAGAUGGCGGGCAUUUUUGUCACCACGAGGGGACAGCCUGCCUGAGAAGGAAGCCAACAGGAAGGAAGGUGGAGACCAGGAUGGAGCAGGGCAGCUCUUGAUGACGUCACCAAGGCCCUAGAUCCAGACUUGCCUGAACCACCCCUUGGACUGUCUGGUUCCAGGAACCAAUCACUACCCCUUUUUGCUUUAGGAGUUUUAUCUGGGUUUCUGCCACUCACAACCAGGAGAGUCCUGACUGAUAGACAGGGACUCAAUGAACACAUGUUGAUUGAGUGACUGAGUGAGCAUUCAGGGCUCUGGCACUGUCCUGAGCCCAGUAAAUUUUGGGAUGAUUGUGUGGUAAGUGUCUCGCCUUCCUGUAGGACCAUAGGGACUUGCAGGGGAUUCUUCAUUUGACUUGGGAAGAUGCCUUCUUCGUCCUCCCUGCUUGCAGGGCUUGGCAUCGAAGUCUAGGUUCCUUCAAGAGAAGGCGGAGGUACUGUGCACCUGGCCCAGGAGGCCAAAUCCCUGUUUUCUUCUCUCUGACCCAAAUUUCCCCAAACAGCGAGGUCUCAGCUCCACUUGGAGAGGGGAGAUGGGAAAGAGGCUGGCUGCUAGAGUCCAAAGCAACAGCCCAGGAAAUAAGGGCCUUUAUUAGUCCCAUUUUACAGAUGAAGACACUGAGGCCAGAGAGCCGAAGUUAUCUGUCUUCAAACCCAGGGCCCACCAAACAGAACUCAACUCUAUCCUUGCUUCCAAACCACUGCUUCCUCCUCCUUAGCCAUUUUCCAUCUGGUGUUGGCGUUUUUUUUCCUGGCUUUCUUGCCCUGUCA